GUAGAUGAGCUUAUUUUUUCUCAAAAAUGAAGAAAAAAAGAUGUGAGAAAUAGAUCGAAAGUGUUAUGGUCUGUGAAAUUUUUAAUAAGGGCUUUAACUGCCAAAUGAUAACGUAUUCAAACAGUCCUUGUGGGUUAAGGUGGAUGAAGAUAUUCAAAAUGGUACCAUAGUUUUACAAAACAAGUUCCUACAAAUUUCAAUUGUUUAGUUGUACUUCACCAUGUUUCUAAAAUUUUUCCUUGGCAGUCAUUAAAUUUUUUAUGGAAAAAAGCAAUUAACUACAAAAAAAAUGUGGUUCAACUUGUGGUUUUGAAGCCAUGAAUUUUUUCUGAAGGAAACAGAGUUCAUAGCCUCUUUUCAUUUUCUAUGUUUUUCAGCCAUGUUUAUAUGUUUAGCUUGUCUGGACUCUUGAACUCACAAUCACCAAAGGGGCUGAUGCUUAAUGGUUGUCAAUUUCUAGCUUAAAUGUCACUAUUUUUUAGGGAUUCAAAAAUCUUACUUCUCUCACUAAGCUUGAUCUAUCUGACAAUAACAUAUCAACACUUCCCCAGAGUUGCUUGCAGGUCUUAAGACUUGAUGGAAAUUCGUUGAGAAGCAUCCGAAGGAAAAUCUUAGAUAAAGGAACCAAGGCUGUCUUAACAUAUUUGAAGGAAAAAAUUACAGAUCUCUAGUUUAGUUGCAAUUCUAUCCGGACAUCUCUCACUUUUUGAUUUGCCAGAAUUCUUAAUUUGAAGACCAUGUGGUUCUUUACAUGGUUGGAGUGAGCAUGACAUUUGUGACCUUACAAAUUAAUUUAUGAUUGUUUUUGUCGUUUUAAAUAUCCCAAUGUUUGACCAUGGGAUUGUAUUUGCUGUUACUGAUAAUAAUUUAUUUUCUCCACGUAAGCUAUGCCUAUGUGUUUGUAAAAUAUUAUGUGAUUGGUUGUGUAUUCUAUUCUCGUUGUUGUUAUUGAAAAUUCGCUUGUUUGCAAAUUGUACAUGCUUUGAAAUUACAGACAUUGUUUCAUUUUGUGCUCGUAUACAGAUUACACAGUAAUGCCAUCUUAAAUUUUCUUUCU